UACGUAGGGGGCAAGCGUUGUCCGGAAUCAUUGGGCGUAAAGCGCGUGUAGGCGGUUCGGUAAGUCUGCUGUGAAAGUCCAGGGCUCAACCCUGGGAUGCCGGUGGAUACUGUCGGACUAGAGUACGGAAGAGGCGAGUGGAAUUCCCGGUGUAGCGGUGAAAUGCGCAGAUAUCGGGAAGAACACCCGUGGCUAAGGCGGCUCUCUAGUACGGUACUGACGCUGAGACGCGAAAGCGUGGGGAGCGAACAGG
rnacentral:rRNA from 1 species